rnacentral:rRNA from 1 species
AAGGCUCAGUAUAACAGCUAUUAUUUAUUUGAUCGUAAACAUAGUUACUUGGAUAACUGUGGUAAUUCCAGAGCUAAUACAUGCAAACAACAUGGAUCCUCGUAGCAAUAUGGGUGAAACAUGUGCUUUUAUUAGAUUAAAACCAUGUCCAUCUCUGAUGGAUUUGUUUUAGAUGAAUCUGGAUAAUUAUGGCUGAUCGUAUGGUCUUGCACCGACGAUAGAUCAUUCAAAUGUCUGCCCUAUCAACUAUUGAUGGUAGUAUAGAGGACUACCAUGGUUGCAACGGGUAACGGGGAAUCAGGGUUCGA